UCUCUCUCUCUCUCUCAAAAACCAAAGACUUAAAAUUGAAAUGAAAAUUCAUGACUUACAGCCAGCGCCGACAAAAUAAAGCAGACGGAGGAGCUAUGGGGCUGGGGGGCCCGCUAAUUCUUCUCCACUCAUUUCUCUUCUCUUCUCUUCUUCUAAUUCUUCUGUGCGUGAAGUUGAGAACUGAGAAAGAUCACGACCUGUUUUUAGUCCGAAACUGAAAUGGGUCGGAUCAUAUCGAACUCGGCCAGAAAGGAAGGUGAAAGUUGAACGUUGCUAUUAUUUUCUGAGCAUAGUUCACGUUUUCACUGCACACCAUGACAAAAAUCGAUGCUUUGAGGAGACAGUUUCUGGUGUGUGUGCUUUCUCUGUUUCAAUUUUAUGGAUUCAUGGUAUCUGUGUAAAAUAGUAGUGGGGUUUACUUGAGGUUGGAUUGUGUAUUGUACAAAACAUCGAACAAGAGUAACUCUGUUUUUUCUUUUUCAUAUUUAAGUUUGUUUGAAAGUUGAAUGAAAGAUUUACAUGAUGACCUAUUUUACAAUAAAAUGUUGAAAAUGACAGUUUCAAGUCGUCUUGGUGUGUGUACUCUGAGAGAAACAGGAUUAGAAACAAAGACCUACUAUAGGAACUUCAUCAAACAGGGUACUACAUAGAUAAUGGAUACUACACCGCGGGAUUGGAAGAUGGUUUAUACAUAGUUAGAACAAUCAUAUCAAAUUUUCUUUUCUUUCCUUGUCCUUAUUUCUCAGUUUCACAGUGUUCAACCGUCAUUUAAAAUCAGUGCAUUGUUUGAUGUUUUAAUGUCAUCUGUUUUCCCAGUGUCUUUCCUGUUACUGUAUAUGGUGCUUUCCUACCCCUACGUAUAUUCUAUCGUCUUCAUGCUUUGUGUGCAUUUCUACGGUGCCUUUUUGUUGCUCUCUGUGUGCUGGUCCUGUGGCCAUCAUUUGAUGUAAUACUAGCAGAUCAGGUUUCUGUUGUCAUCCCAAUGCUAAAGCUUAAGAAGACAACAAAUGUAUUUGCACCUAUUUGAUAUCAUGUUGUUUAAUAUGUUACAUCUUUAUGUCCAGGUUUUUUUUAUUGUCAUUUUCCAGAUUUAUUGCUAGCUCAACACACACACACACACACACACACACACACACACACUAUUUUGAGGAGUGCAUAUAGGAAACCUUUAGAUUUCAUAGAAGAAAUGACAACUGGUCUGAUUCCAUAUCUUGGCUUUAUCAUAUUUAUCUGAUGUGUCUUGUGCACCUUUUUAGUGUUCUUUUGCAGUGAUCAUACUACUAUUUCUCACUGAUUUAAAAAAAAAAUUAAGUAUGGCUGCAGGAAUGGCAGAUAAGAUUCAUGUUAUAGCAAAUUCACAGCAUCUUUGUUUGCAAAGACAUUUAGGAAUCUUAACGGAUGACGAAUUCAGCCAGUCUUUACCCAGCUGUUAAUGUGAAACAGUUGAUGAACCCACCAAUUCGUAUAAGUAACGAACAUGUUUGUAUAUGGUUUACAGUUUCCUUGAUGAUUUUCAUUUCCGAUUUUAUGUGGUAGCUUACCGUUGUUUUCCUGCUUUGAUAUUUUCCUUGUUGUAGGAUAAAUUUUCUGUCGAUAAACUGUUUUGAGAGGAAAAGGAAUAUAGACUUGGAAAUUUCAGCUUU